rnacentral:rRNA from 1 species
UACGGGGGGGCAAGGCGUUGUUCGGAAUUACUGGGCGUAAAGGGCUCGUAGGCGGCCAACUAAGUCAGACGUGAAAUCCCUCGGCUUAACCGGGGAACUGCGUCUGAUACUGGAUGGCUUGAGUUUGGGAGAGGGAUGCGGAAUUCCAGGUGUAGCGGUGAAAUGCGUAGAUAUCUGGAGGAAUACCGGUGGCGAAGGCGGCCUGCUGGGCAGUGCUGACACUGAGGCGCGACAGCGUGGGGAGCAAACAGGG